rnacentral:rRNA from 1 species
AGAGUUUGAUCAUGGCUCAGAUUGAACGCUGGCGGCAGGCCUAACACAUGCAAGUCGAGCGGAUGAGAAGAGCUUGCUCUUCGAUUCAGCGGCGGACGGGUGAGUAAUGCCUAGGAAUCUGCCUGGUAGUGGGGGACAACGUUUCGAAAGGAACGCUAAUACCGCAUACGUCCUACGGGAGAAAGCAGGGGACCUUCGGGCCUUGCGCUAUCAGAUGAGCCUAGGUCGGAUUAGCUAGUUGGUGAGGUAAUGGCUCACCAAGGCGACGAUCCGUAACUGGUCUGAGAGGAUGAUCAGUCACACUGGAACUGAGACACGGUCCAGACUCCUACGGGAGGCAGCAGUGGGGAAUAUUGGACAAUGGGGGGAACCCUGAUCCAGCCAUGCCGCGUGUGU